UACGUAGGGUGCGAGCGUUAAUCGGAAUUACUGGGCGUAAAGCGUGCGCAGGCGGUGAUGUAAGACAGUUGUGAAAUCCCCCGGGCUCAACCUGGGAACUGCAUCUGUGACUGCAUCGCUGGAGUGCGGCAGAGGGGGGAUGGAAUUCCGCGUGUAGCAGUGAAAUGCGUAGAUAUGCGGAGGAACACCGAUGGCGAAGGGCAAUCCCCUGGGCCUGCACUGACGCUCAUGCACGAAAGCGUGGGGAGCAAACAGG
rnacentral:rRNA from 1 species